CCAACAUAGUGUCAUUUAUUGAUUUUCCUUUGAUCAAGUUUGCUCGCCGGUAGCUACUAGGUGAAUGUCUUUUAACAACACAACUUCUCCAGUAACUGCUUUAGUUAUUUCUUAAUUUCAAGUACAAACACGUUGUUGACUAAAACCUCUAUCAACAACUGUUUUUAUUUACACUUAUUAAGUCUGAUGUUUCAAAUGUGUUGUUGAGCCUAAGGUAUGCUCUGCAUGACGUCUAACAGUAUUACAAUAUUCAAAACAUGUUCGAAAGUUCGAUCACAACGAAGGUUUCUUUUGCGAGUGUUCUCGUGUUCUGCUUCUUCAUUCUUCUGUAGCAUGGUUUUAAAUCUCAUGUCGUGCGAACUCUCAGGCUUGCAAACUUCAUCCACAGGGCCAGCAUCCCCAAAUUUCGCCAAUUGUGUAAUACUUUACUUCAUCUAUGUCCAUCACGAGAGAAACUUACGAUGUUUCGCUGCAGUUUGAAAACUUGUUUUGGAAGAG
rnacentral:lncRNA from 1 species